rnacentral:lncRNA from 1 species
CAUGAUCCAAUGCAGUUAUGGAUAUGAUCCUUUUGGGCUAGGCAAGAAGCCAGAAAACUUCAGCAAGUAAGCUUUUGCUAUACAUAAUACUCUCUCUCUCUCUCUCUCUCUCUCUCUCUCUCUCUCUCUCUCUCUCUCUCUCUCUAGACUAGAGAUAUGAUUUCUUUCUCCUGCAGUUAAUUUUCAUUAGGAUGGAAACAAACAGAUGAUCAAUCUAAUUGAUGACAUGUGAGGGUAAUUAAUACCGUGGUGUCUUUGAAUAAUGUUAAUGCAGA